CCUACGGGUGGCAGCAGUGAGGAAUAUUGAUCAAUGGACGAGAGCCUGAACCAGCCAAGUAGCGUGAAGGAUGAAGGAUCUAUGGUUUGUAAACUUCUUUUAUAUGGGAAUAAAGUGUUGAACGUGUUGCUUUUUGUAUGUACCAUAUGAAUAAGCAUCGGCUAACUCCGUGCCAGCAGCCGCGGUAAUACGGAGGAUGCGAGCGUUAUCCGGAUUUAUUGGGUUUAAAGGGUGCGUAGGUGGUUUAUUAAGUCAGCUGUGAAAGUUUGUGGCUCAACCGUAAAAUUGCAGUUGAAACUGGUUGUCUUGAGUAUAUUUGAGGUGGGCGGAAUGCGUGGUGUAGCGGUGAAAUGCUUAGAUAUCACGAAGAACUCCGAUUGCGAAGGCAGCUUACUAGACUAUAACUGACACUGAAGCACGAAAGUGUGGGGAUCAAACAGGAUUAGAUACCCGGGUAGUC
rnacentral:rRNA from 1 species